rnacentral:rRNA from 1 species
GGUCCGGCUGAGUGGUCUUGCCAAUGGUAAGUACUUCUCUGGUCGGAUCUUUCUUUCUGGGGAACCAACGUGCUCUUAACUGAGUGCGCUGGGGAUCCAGGACUUUUACUUUGAAAAAAUUAGAGUGUUUAAAGCAGGCCUACGCUUGAAUACGUUAGCAUGGAAUAAUAGAAUAGGACGUUGUGGUUCUAUUUUGUUGGUUCAAGGACCACCGUA